AAAAAAAAAUCCUUUCUAAGCCAAGCUGACCUUUUCCCUUUCCCAGGACAAUUCGACAAAGUGUCACAUCCACUGAAUGCCUGGACGAAAGUAAGAGCAGCUACACAAGGACCAAACACAUUUGAUAUGUCACGUACAGGAAGCCAACAAAAGUCUUUAUUCCUUCCAUAACCUGUCCACAAUGUGUUCUACCUAGUUUUGCGAUUGCUGCAAUUCUUGAUACUAUUACAUCUGUG
rnacentral:lncRNA from 1 species